rnacentral:lncRNA from 10 species
UUGCGAGUGAUGAGUAAUGCAUGGUUGUUUCUUGUGGUCUAGAUGUGGAAUGUACUGGCAGAUGCAAAGGUUUUCUACUAUUCGCAUGAGGACAGUGAGAUACAGAACUUUCACGACAAGUCAGGCAAAGCAAAUUUAUUAUUCACUGAUAGACAGCAAAAACACAUAGUCUAGGAUCCAUGGUGGGCUGGUCCCCCGGGGCUCAGGAAAGCUCUCCAGUGUGGAUAGAGUCUUGUCUGUGUGUGUCCCAUAUUGUACUGAAGCUGAGGUACCCGCAAAGCACAUCAUCUUGUAUUUUGCGCCUUGGGUAUCAUUUGCUCCCUAAGCUCAAGUUUUGCAGAAUAUCCUGCUCUAGAAGGAACAUAGUUCUGGCUAUUCUAGCCUGUUUCUUUUUUUCUUAUGUUAAUGCAUUCUGCAGAAAUUCUACAGUAAUUCUGAGAACUACAAGUUGGAGAGGGGAGAGCUGGGUCGAAAAAGGCCACUUGAGGACCUGCCCUCCUACAGCAGGGACAUUUGUAUCUAAAGAGUGCUGCCUAUAGGGGAGCAGCAACUUGGAAGAAAAGGCCUAAUACUUAAGGGUCAAGGAAGGAGUUGCAAGUGAUCACCCAGCCUGGAGAAGCAUCUGCCCGAGUCAAGGAAACUUUACAAGAGAAAUCCCCAGUGUGCACCCCUAUGAAGAGCCUACAAUGGUAUGUCUACAAGAGUGAGUCAUCCUUACUUCUGCCAGACCCAGAUAGUUGCAAGCUGUCUUUGCUACCAUUUCAGCACACAAAGAAUGCAGAGGCAACUGACCAGACACGUAACUGCGUACCAGAGAGAGGGAAAAGCAGAAUGAGGCACAAACAAAUGCAUUUCAGAGAAUGCAGCUAAGCAUAUUUUCCUCAAAUAUAACCUGGUCUGCAGAGGUGCAGCUCUGACUUCAACAUCACCAUUAAUAACUUCAUCACCAAGCAAUUUUACCUUCUUGGAGCUGAAAUGUCAAGCAUCACCACUUGUGUGGAGGGACUUUGUAGAGCUAAAAAGCCUACUGGAGUUGUUUCAGAACAACAAAAAAACCACCCCCCAACAAUUGUUGAAGAGUAUUUCAUUUGUGUAAUAAAAGAGCUGAAAAAAAUAUUCCAAUUGAGCAUUCUCUGGACACCCACAGUCCCUUGGCCCUGAAGAAACAGUUGACCUUACUCUGGGAUGGGGCAUUAACAAAAGACAAAAAUUAAGUCCUGAGAAUCAGAACUAAGAGUCAGAAAUACGCAAGUGGUUGACAUCUUUGUGUCUCAGCUUUCUGACCUAUAUCCUAAACAUGAUGUGUGUGAGACUCUUCAUUUGCUG